rnacentral:sRNA from 1 species
GGGAAUGAUGUGCGGAUCAUCCUUGGCCAGUUUGACCAGAAUAUGGCAGCAAAAGUGUUCUGUUGUGCAUAUGAGGAGAACAUGUAUGGUAGUAAAUACCAGUGGAUCAUCCCGGGCUGGUACGAGCCUUCUUGGUGGGAGCAGGUGCACACGGAAGCCAACUCAUCCCGCUGCCUCCGGAAGAAUCUGCUUGCUGCCAUGGAGGGCUACAUUGGCGUGGAUUUCGAGCCCCUGAGCUCCAAGCAGAUCAAGACCAUCUCAGGAAAGACUCCACAGCAGUAUGAGAGAGAGUACAACAACAAGCGGUCAGGCGUGGGGCCC